AUAGCACAUCCACGGACUGAAAAUCCUUGUGUCGGCGGUUCGAUUCCGCCUCUCGCCA
rnacentral:tRNA from 1 species